GACGAACGCUGGCGGCGUGCCUAAUACAUGCAAGUAGAACGCUGAAGGAGGAGCUUGCUUCUCUGGAUGAGUUGCGAACGGGUGAGUAACGCGUAGGUAACCUGCCUGGUAGCGGGGGAUAACUAUUGGAAACGAUAGCUAAUACCGCAUAAGAGUAGAUGUUGCAUGACAUUUGCUUAAAAGGUGCAAUUGCAUCACUACCAGCUGGACCUGCGUUGUAUUAGCUAGUUGGUGAGGUAACGGCUCACCAAGGCGACGAUACAUAGCCGACCUGAGAGGGGGAUCGGCCACACUGGGACGGAGACACGGCCCAGACGCCUACGGGAGGCAGCAGUAGGGAAUCUUCGGCAAUGGACGGAAGUCUGACCGAGAAACGCCGCGUGAGUGAAGAAGGUUUUCGGAUCGUAAAGCUCUGUUGUAAGAGAAGAACGCGUGUGAGAGUGGAAAGUUCACACUGUGACGGUAUCUUACCAGAAAGGGACGGCUAACUACGUG
rnacentral:rRNA from 1 species